UGGGGAAUAUUGGACAAUGGGCGAAAGCCUGAUCCAGCCAUGCCGCGUGUGUGAAGAAGGUCUUCGGAUUGUAAAGCACUUUAAGUUGGGAGGAAGGGCAGUAAGCGAAUACCUUGCUGUUUUGACGUUACCGACAGAAUAAGCACCGGCUAACUCUGUGCCAGCAGCCGCGGUAAUACAGAGGGUGCAAGCGUUAAUCGGAAUUACUGGGCGUAAAGCGCGCGUAGGUGGUUCGUUAAGUUGAAUGUGAAAGCCCCGGGCUCAACCUGGGAACUGCAUCCAAAACUGGCGAGCUAGAGUAGGGCAGAGGGUGGUGGAAUUUCCUGUGUAGCGGUGAAAUGCGUAGAUAUGGGAAGGAACACCAGUGGCGAAGGCGACCACCUGGGCUCAUACUGACACUGAGGUGCGAAAGAGUGGGGAGCAAACAGG
rnacentral:rRNA from 1 species